ensembl:snoRNA
AUGCACAAUUCAUUGUCCUGCUCCUCAUUGUUUAUUAGGAGCAGUGAUAUUUCUGUUGUGCUAGAGAAAAGGUGGAGGUAAAUUAGCAGAGCAGCUACUCGGUGCCGUCUCUGCCAGUCCCCUUCGCACAGUG